AUGCCGCGCUUCACUGAUAGCAAGUUUGCUUAUAAAGGGCUAUUUAUUCUGUGGAUGAACUUCUCUGCCCCCAAAAUGAACACUUUUAGGAAUCUUGUUUAUGAAGAGGAUCUGGACUGUACUUGCCCAGUAUCGAUCAACUCAGAAUAUUCUAUCCUAUUCAACAUCCAUCUACUGCAUCAUCAUCAUCACGUCAACUCAAAGACGAUAGCUAUGAAUGGGAUACAACAAAGAGGAAAAGGAGGCCACCUUGGUGGGCAGCGGCGACCUGGGUGUCGAGGUUCGGUCUGGCGGCGACCUGGCCAUCGCGCCGAGCCGCUUCUUGAUGAGGACUGCUCAAUUGAUGAUCGAUUGAAUUUUUGA
rnacentral:rRNA from 1 species